ACGAUGUUCCGCUGUUCAGAUAAAAGGGCAUGAGCAUUAG
rfam:Oceanobacillus oncorhynchi strain Oc5 genome assembly, contig: CONTIG000001